rnacentral:rRNA from 1 species
UACGAAGGGGGCUAGCGUUGCUCGGAAUUACUGGGCGUAAAGGGCGCGUAGGCGGCCUGCUAAGUCGAACGUGAAAUCCCCGGGCUCAACCCGGGAACUGCGUCCGAUACUGGCAGGCUUGAAUCCGGGAGAGGGAUGCGGAAUUCCAGGUGUAGCGGUGAAAUGCGUAGAUAUCUGGAGGAACACCGGUGGCGAAGGCGGCAUCCUGGACCGGCAUUGACGCUGAGGCGCGAAAGCCAGGGGAGCAAACGGG